rnacentral:rRNA from 1 species
ACGGGAGGCAGCAGUGGGGAAUAUUGGGCAAUGGGCGAAAGCCUGACCCAGCAACGCCGCGUGAAGGAAGAAGGUCUUCGGAUUGUAAACUUCUUUUAUGAGGGACGAAGGAAUUGACGGUACCUCAUGAAUAAGCCACGGCUAAAUACGUGCCAGCAGCCGCGGUAAUACGUAUGGAGCAAGCGUUAUCCGGAUUUACUGGGUGUAAAGGGAGCGUAGACGGUUAAGCAAGUCUGAAGUGAAAGGUGUGGGCUCAACCCGCAAACUGCUUUGGAAACUGUUUAACUAGAGUGUCGGAGAGGUAAGUGGAAUUCCUAGUGUAGCGGUGAAAUGCGUAGAUAUUAGGAGGAACACCAGUGGCGAAGGCGGCUUACUGGACGAUAACUGACGUUGAGGCUCGAAAGCGUGGGGAGCAAACAGGAUUAGAUACCCUGGUA